AGAUCCUACAGACGAUGACGGGUAGCCGGCCUGAGAGGGCGACCGGCCACACUGGGACUGAGACACGGCCCAGACUCCUACGGGAGGCAGCAGUGGGGAAUAUUGCACAAUGGGCGAAAGCCUGAUGCAGCGACGCCGCGUGAGGGAUGACGGCCUUCGGGUUGUAAACCUCUUUCAGUAGGGAAGAAGCGAAAGUGACGGUACCUGCAGAAGAAGCGCCGGCUAACUACGUGCCAGCAGCCGCGGUAAUACGUAGGGCGCAAGCGUUGUCCGGAAUUAUUGGGCGUAAAGAGCUCGUAGGUGGCUUGUCGCGUCUGCCGUGAAAACCCGAGGCUCAACCUCGGGCGUGCGGUGGGUACGGGCAGGCUAGAGUGUGGUAGGGGAGACUGGAACUCCUGGUGUAGCGGUGAAAUGCGCAGAUAUCAGGAAGAACACCGAUGGCGAAGGCAGGUCUCUGGGCCAUUACUGACACUGAGGAGCGAAAGCAUGGGUAGCGAACAGGAUUAGAUACCCUGGUAGUCCAUGCCGUAAACGUUGGGCACUAGAUGUGGGGGACAUUCCACGUUUUCCGCGUCGUAGCUAACGCAUUAAGUGCCCCGCCUGGGGAAGUACGGA
rnacentral:rRNA from 1 species